GGUAAACGCAUCCGAAUGGAGCCCCGGUGUCGUUUUUGCGGCUUAAACCCGGCUUAAAGUCUGGGAUUUGUCCGCUUCCUGCGAGGGGGAGCCCCGAGGAGACAGCUGUGGAGUCACAGCACUUGAAUUUGACCACCAAAGUGACCACCAUAAAACGGGAUGAGGGGCCGACGGUUCGCAUUCCUCCGGGUCGGGAGUGACGGGGAGGCAGAGCCGGGGUUGGCACCCGGAACGUUUCGGGCCCCUUUUGCCAUUCGAAGCCGCUCCGUUUCCGAGCGGUGCGAGAGCCCCGAUCCCCUCCAUCCACGGACUCUUCAGGCGUCGCACCGGACUCCUUCCCACGAUCAGCACUUCUCACUUCUGUGCAAACAGUUACAAAACAAAAAAUCCAAUCCACCCCUCACCCCAAACACCACCCCCCCCUUCCCCCCCCCCGCCCCGCUCCGGAGUGAGCCCUCGUUUGCCCAAUGCGAUGCGAACAGAACACGUCGAGCAGCGUUUUGUGCAGUCGGACGGGCAGAUCUCGGGGAUGAAAGGGACGCGUUUUAACGCGAAGUGGCACUUCGGGGCCGAAAAACACCGCAGCGGUUGUCCCCAGAUGAAAACCCCGGAGCUGUGAAAGUCGCCUUUGGUUGAUCUGUGCAAACAUCUGAAGUUAUAUUUUGGUUUGGGUUAAGCCUGGACUUGAACUGUUCUUAAUAAAUCAUUGGUCUCUAUUCCCCCCCCCCCCCCCCUUCUCGUUGGGGAGGGAGAUCUAUUUUUUCUCCCCCCACACACACACAGCUGUAAUUAUCCAAACGCGCUGUACGUUCGUUAGCAGCCUCCCCACUUCGGUCAGAAACUUUUGUAGUGAGCAUUGCCAUAAAGGAGCCUUUGUCCGAACCCGUACAGUGAGGGAACUGCUGUCAGGAGGGGGGAAAAUGAUGAAAAACAAAGAGAAAAAAAAACCUAAAAAUCGAACACCACGAGGGCAGACGUGAUACCAACCCGCCUUCCCACGUCGCUCAUUGCUGCUCACGGUGCCCUCCAUAUACCUGGAGCGUUAUUUAGACCCCAAAUCCUCCCUGUCUCAGAUAGAUGAUCUGGGGCUGCUCUGGGCAAAUGAUUUGGGGGGAAAAAAA
ensembl:lncRNA